rnacentral:rRNA from 1 species
CCAGACUCCUACGGGAGGCAGCAGUGGGGGAUAUUGCACAAUGGGGGGAACCCUGAUGCAGCGACGCCGCGUGAGUGAAGAAGUAUUUCGGUAUGUAAAGCUCUAUCGGCAGGGAAGAAAAAGCGCGCGAGCGCCCUUGACAGUACCUGACUAAGAAGCCCCGGCUAACUACGUGCCAGCAGCCGCGGUAAUACGUAGGGGGCAAGCGUUAUCCGGAUUUACUGGGUGUAAAGGGAGCGUAGGCGGCCAUGCAAGUCAGAAGUGAAAACCCGGGGCUCAACCCUGGGAGUGCUUUUGAAACUGUCAGGCUGGAGUGCAGGAGAGGUAAGUGGAAUUCCUAGUGUAGCGGUGAAAUGCGUAGAUAUUAGGAGGAACACCAGUGGCGAAGGCGGCUUACUGGACUGUAACUGACGUUGAGGCUCGAAAGCGUGGGGAGCAAAUAGGAUUAGAUACCCCCGUA